UUCGCAAUGCCCGAAAGGGUGACGAAGCGACGCCGCGUGUGGGAAGAAGGCCUUCGGGUUGUAAACCACUGUCGGGAGCUAAGAAAUGCAAGAAUGUUAAUAGCGUUUUUGCUUGACUAAGGCUCCGGAGGAAGCCACGGCUAACUCUGUGCCAGCAGCCGCGGUAAUACAGAGGCGGCAAGCGUUGUUUGGAAUUAUUGGGCGUAAAGAGCACGUAGGCGGCUAUGUAAGUCGGUUGUGAAAGCCUUCCGCUCAACGGAAGAACAGCAUCCGAUACUACAUGGCUUGAGUGCGGGAGGGGAAAGUGGAACUUCUGGUGGAGCGGUGAAAUGCGUAGAUAUCAGAAGGAACACCGGCGGCGAAGGCGACUCUCUGGUCCAUAACUGACGCUGAGUGUGCGAAAGCUAGGGGAGCAAACGGGAUUAGAUACCCCGGUAGUCCUAGCCGUAAACGAUGGGCACUAAGUAGAGGGGUUUU
rnacentral:rRNA from 1 species